rnacentral:rRNA from 1 species
UUAUAAAUAUAUAUAUUUUUUAAUUGGAGUAGCCCACAAAAUAUUGGGACAUAUAAAAAAAGACAACUCUGUUCGGCAGAGUAGCUGUUGAGAUUAUAGUUGCGCAGGUACUUUGUUGACUCUAGAGAACCUCGGGCCAAUCGCACAUUCCCGUGGCACGACUUUGCAUGCGGAUGUCAUCCAUAUCAACUUUCGAUGCCAGUUUCUGAGCCUACCAUGGUGACCACGGGUAAUGGGGAAUCAGGGUUCCAUUCCGUACAGGAACCCUGAGAAACGGCUACCACAUGCAAGGAAGGCAGCAGGCGUGUAAAUGACCCACUCCCAAUGCGGGAAGGUAGUGAUGA